AACGCGUCGGCGGCGGCAGCGCUGUGCGCGUCGUCUCAAGAGGAAGGCGAUCCUGUUUCUGUCCUCUCUCCGUCAUUGUCAUACAUCGGAUAUGUAUUAGUCGCCCUCAUUAUGCCCGUUGUUGUACUCAACACUUUGAUUGGAUUGGCUGUUGGAGAUAUUGCGGCCGUUCGGGCAGACGCAGCUCUCAGGCAAAUUCGAAUGCAGGUUCUGUCGUUCACUUUUUGCGUUGCGUUUGACUCUGUCGGAUAUCAUUUUAUUGAAGGCAAAACUACUGGUUGAGUUGGAGAGUGCGUUGCCUUCUUGGUUCUUACGGCACGUUCAAGUCCAACGCAGCAGUUACACUGUGAGCACGAAAGGGACGCUGAGAAAUUGGCUUCGUUUUGCACUGAAAGCUGCGGAUGAGCCACCAACAGACAAGUCGUCCGCUGCUGCGCUUCAAUUAAAGAAAGUCAAACGCAAUAUCCGCAAAAUACAUAAAUGUCUUGGAAACCUAGAAGACAAUUUGUGUCGCCAACAAAACCUUUUAAAGUCUUUGGCCGCAAGUAUCAGGCAUCAACAAAAGCACGGUUUAUCUCCUCAGCAGAUUUCUUCAAACGUGGAAGAGAAAGGCAAGCGUGCAGGUAGUCUCGUUUUUUCAGCAGAUAGCAGAUUGGAUGACAUUGUUGAAACACCAUUAGUAUCUAAAAUUGAAGACGAUGCUGUGUGAACACACGUUUGUAAACGUGUUUGGGACAUCUAGAAACAUAGACAUAUGUACUCGACAAAACAUUUCCGUUGCU